rnacentral:rRNA from 1 species
UGAGGAAUAUUGGACAAUGGGCGCAAGCCUGAUCCAGCCAUGCCGCGUGCAGGAUGAAGCAUCUAUGGUGUGUAAACUGCUUUUGUACGAGAAGAAACACUCCAACGUGUUGGAGCUUGACGGUAUCGUAAGAAUAAGGAUCGGCUAACUCCGUGCCAGCAGCCGCGGUAAUACGGAGGAUCCAAGCGUUAUCCGGAAUCAUUGGGUUUAAAGGGUCCGUAGGCGGGCUAUUAAGUCAGUGGUGAAAUCUCUCGGCUCAACCGGGAAAUGGCCAUUGAUACUGCUAGUCUUGAAUUAUUAGGAAGUAACUAGAAUAUGUAGUGUAGCGGUGAAAUGCUUAGAGAUUACAUGGAAUACCAAUUGCGAAGGCAGGUUACUACUAAUGGAUUGACGCUGAUGGACGAAAGCGUGGGUAGCGAACAGG